UACGUAGGUUGCAAGCGUUGUCCGGAAUUAUUGGGCGUAAAGAGCUCGUAGGCGGUCUGUCGCGUCGGCUGUGAAAACCCGGGGCUCAACCCCGGGCCUGCAGUCGAUACGGGCAGACUAGAGUGCGGUAGGGGAGACUGGAAUUCCUGGUGUAGCGGUGAAAUGCGCAGAUAUCGGGAGGAACACCGGUGGCGAAGGCGGUUCUCUGGGCCUUACCUGACGCUGAGGAGCGAAAGCGUGGGGAGCGAACAGG
rnacentral:rRNA from 1 species